rnacentral:rRNA from 1 species
GGGGAAUUUUGGACAAUGGGCGCAAGCCUGAUCCAGCAAUGCCGCGUGAGUGAAGAAGGCCUUCGGGUUGUAAAGCUCUUUUGUCAGGGAAGAAACGGUGGGAGCUAAUAUCUCCCACUAAUGACGGUACCUGAAGAAUAAGCACCGGCUAACUACGUGCCAGCAGCCGCGGUAAUACGUAGGGUGCAAGCGUUAAUCGGAAUUACUGGGCGUAAAGCGUGCGCAGGCGGUUUUGUAAGUCUGAUGUGAAAUCCCCGGGCUCAACCUGGGAAUUGCAUUGGAGACUGCAAGGCUAGAAUCUGGCAGAGGGGGGUAGAAUUCCACGUGUAGCAGUGAAAUGCGUAGAGAUGUGGAGGAACACCGAUGGCGAAGGCAGCCCCCUGGGUCAAGAUUGACGCUCAUGCACGAAAGUGUGGGGAGCAA